GCCAGUUCAUACAAGGUGCCACAGUCAAAAAAAUCCCAGAACAGCAGGUAUCCUAUGCCGUCAAGGGCAACCAAUGGGUCGGCUUUGAUGAUGUGGAGAGUGUGGAGACCAAGGUCCAGUAUUUGAAGAACUCAAGAUUGGGAGGGGCCAUGAUUUGGUCCAUUGACUUGGAUGACUUUACUGGUGAAUUCUGCAAAAAGGGUCCAUUUCCACUCCUCCAGGCAAUCAAGAAGACACUGGACUCUGCCAGUAAAGUUUAAACUAGAAACUGAACACCUGGCAUUCCUCCACCUUGGCAGUGCUCACAGAUGGAUGCCCUAAGACUGUGGCUAUCUGUGCCUUCCUACCCACUCCCCCAGACAGCCUCACUUCAUUCUCAAGCUGCUGAAGAGAAUAAAAUAGAAAUGAUUCUAUCUAAGAAAACUGAGUGCUUCUAUUUUACCCUUACAAUAGCAUUGUGUCUUCACAUUCAGAUAAUCCCAAACCUUUUGGGGCUCAAGUCACCCCACCUUCUCAUUUGAGACCAAACUAUACUUUUCUCAUUAUCUCACCUAACCUCCUACUUCCACCUCUGCUUUCUGAAACAUCAUCCUGUAAGACUAGGAGAUAUUUCCCUGGUAUAUCCAUCACUGAUUACAGAAAGUCUUUUACUUUCUUCCACCCAAGGCUUGGGGGUGGACUUGAGAAAGAAAUAACCAACAUAAUAAUUGGCUUUCUAAUGGCCACAUAGAAACCAGUGAUCAGUUCGAUGAAGCUCAAGAAUUAACUGGAGUCUGUUCCUUGAACCCUGGACUCAGAACUCUAUAGUAAAUAGAGAUAAAUAUAGGUGGCCAGAUGGGUGAUGCCAACUGUGAGGAGCAGUAGAACAGACAGUUAUAGAAACAAGAGAGCUGCCCCCACCAGUCCCUGCUUAGAACAGGGGCAAGUAACUAGUGGUACUAGUAGUGCUCCAGAGAAGUCCCUGAAAUUAAGAGAGAGAGGACAUCAAUGCUCACUUCCAUCAUCACCAUUUUUCUCUCUCAUUUUCUUCUUUCUUUCUCUCUUUUACUUUUUCUUCACACCUGCUUCUGAAGGGAGGGAGGAGGCAUUUACCUUGCAAACAUCCUGGAGCAGAUAAGGAAACUAAAAGGAAAGAGUCAGUAUUUAACUUAGAGAGGAUUCUGACCUGACCUUUUCCCCCAGUCUCACCACCCUGAAGAGGCCCCAGGAUCAUUGUUCAUGGCAAUGGGGGUCUCCCCAAAGGGCGACAUACCUGAUUCUUAGAGGCAGUGGUGGUGGUGAUAACCAGUGAUGGGGAAAAGAACGGAAGAGCUACUUGACUUGAAACAUUCACAAGACUGAUCAGUCAGUCAGCAAGCAUUGAUUAUUUAUUAUGUCAGAUUCGGGAUACAAAGAAAAGCUAAAACA